rnacentral:tRNA from 1 species
GGAUGCGUAGCUCAGCUGGUUAGAGUGCCUGCUUCACACGCAGGAGGUCCGCGGUUCGAGCCCGCGCGUAUCCACCA